AUUGUAGAGAAGAAAAGAUAUGGAUUUGAAUUAGUAGAAAGUCUUGAGUUCAAACCCUCACUCUUUUAUUCAUUGAAUUUAUAUUGAAUUUUUACAUUAAACAUUAUUAUGCUCAAUUUACAUUGAAGCUUUAUCUUGCUGAGCCUUGUUGUCACAUAUUUUAAAUCCCUUUCCCACCAGGGUUUUGGAAGGAUUGAAUGUCAUAAUGUAUUGGCGGCACCUGAAACGUGCUUCCCGCAUCAGAGGCUUAAUAAACAGCUAGGCCCUCUGAACUUCUACAGUAGAUUGGGUAUCUAGACUUGCUUAUUAAGGAAGAAGAAACUAUAGUUCCAUGGCAACAUCUAAUCAAGGCUUUUAUAGAAUCUCAGAGUUGGAGAAUUGUUCAGAUACGUCCUAGUCCUUCCUGUUGAAUGAUUUGUCUCUGCUCGGCUCUGUCAAUUACUACUCAUUCCAGCCUCUCAGGAAACACGAGGUUUCUGGAUCAGAGACAAACUUGAUUACUCAGAGAACAUAUUUCAUCAGUCUCUCAUGCUCCAAUCCCCCAAAGGGCAAUGCAGUGGGGGCAGAAAUCACCUGUGUGUAUGUGGGGUUUGUACAAGAGAGCUUACACACCUGCUCCCGCCCUCCUCCAGAGAGGGAGAGGGACUUUUGCUUUUUAAUAUAAACAAAUACUCUUCGAGGGAUAAAGGGUGAAGGUCCCUAAAUGAAUUAUAUAAAUAGCUCCAAGGAUCUUUAUAUUUAACUCUCAAGGCUUCUUUGAAUUUCAAACAUCCCUUAAUCCAGGUACCAGCAAUGUUUGUUCAGGAAUCCUAAUCAUGUAGCAUUGUUCCUUGUAGCAGUUUCUCCUCACUCCUAUCCCACCAGCCAGACUGGAAAAUAUUAUCACUCAAAGGAAAUUGGUCAGUCAGAAGACUCUUACCUCAGCAGUGGGGAUUAAUUAUCCCCGGAAUAAAUAUCGUUAUGGUCAUACCUGAAAAUUUUAAAGCAACGCCUGAAAUGAUCAAAGUAUUUCCAACAGGAAUACAAAAUUAUCUAGCACCUAGCAAAAUUCAUAAUAUCUAUCAUCCAAUUAAAUAAUUGCCACACAAUAGAGAAAUAAAAAAAAAAUCCUCAAUAAGAUGAAAAAUUAAAAAUUGAAACUGAUCCACACAUAAAUGUUUCAAUUAGCAUAUGAGCACUUGAAAAAAGCCUUUAUAGCUAUAUUCCAUAAGUUCAAAAAGCCAGAGGAAAAUGGAACAUUAUAAGCAUGGGAGACAUUAAAAAUUGCCCUGAUUGAAAUUCUAGAGGUGAAAACUAUAACACAGAAGAUGAAAAAUGUACUUGAUGGAAUUCAUAGCUGACUAAGCAUAGUGGACAAAAAGAUUAGUGAACUUGAAGACAUAACAAUAGGAACUAGUCAAAAUGAAAUAGAAAUAAAAGCCUCAUUAAAAAAAAACAAAAAACAAAUAAACAGAUCAUCAGUGAGCUAUGCAACAAUUUCAAGCAACCUACCAUAUGUGUGAUUGGAGCUGCUGGAUGAGAAAAAAGAGCAAGGAGAGUAAAGAAAAAAUAUUUGCAGAACGAAUGGCUGAAAAUGUCCCAAAUUUGAUGAAAAUUAUAAACUCUCAGAUCCAAGAUGCUCAAUAAACCCCAAGCACAAGAAACAAAGAAGAAAACUAUAACAAGGCAUAUAAUACAUAUCUUAAAAUCAGCAAUAAAGAAAAUAUCUUG
rnacentral:lncRNA from 1 species